UACGGAGGGGGCAAGCGUUGUUCGGAAUUACUGGGCGUAAAGGGCGCGUAGGCGGUUCGUACAGUCAGACGUGAAAUUCCUGGGCUCAACCUGGGGGCUGCGUUUGAUACGUGCGGACUUGAGUGCGGAAGAGGGUCGUGGAAUUCCCAGUGUAGAGGUGAAAUUCGUAGAUAUUGGGAAGAACACCGGUGGCGAAGGCGGCGACCUGGUCCGAUACUGACGCUGAGGCGCGAAAGCGUGGGGAGCAAACAGG
rnacentral:rRNA from 1 species